AUUUUUCAAAACACUAAAAUAUUUCUUACAUAUUAUUUAUUGAUUUUUCUUGACCGUUUCGGAGUUUCCAGCUCUUUUGUUUGGCCUUGCCUAAAAUCACAAAAGCUUAAUUGAAAAUUUAUGAUGAAGUCUCAAGCUCGACAGCAUUUGCAGAUGCUGCUAGGAAAUAUGAUUUCCCCGCCACUUUUCCCGCUUAAUUGGAUUCAUUUUUUAUGCUUCCUCAAAUGUCAACUCGCUGAUUUCAAUUUGAAUAAUUGAAAGGAAUAAAAAGAAAAGCUUGGAGAUUAAUUUGCCAAUCCGUUUGGAUGUCGCAGCUAAUUCUCUCGCCGCCUAAUUGUCUAAAACAAUUUAUGAGGGUCCUUCUCGCUUAUUUGAGUUCGCUGUUCUCAGUUCCCAGUUAGCAGUUUAUAAAUACUUUUGCCCUUUGGUAAUUCCUCAUUCGAAACGUAACGAGCUUGGCAAUUAAUUAGCUAAUGAAAUUAUAUUUGAGUGCCCGAAACCUUUGGCCGCACAACUUGUUGACACUUUACAUUUUUUUUCGUUUUUGGCGCCAAAGUUCCUGGAACGCGUUUUUCGUAUUUUCAUCAAAUGGCAAUUACAUUUCCCGUUGGCAAGCCUUUAAGAACCGACUUGCCUUGCCCUUGGGCCACAUUUGUUGACGUGUUGAGUAAUUAUGCUAACAAAGCUCAAGAAUUUAAAUGCCGUGCACACUUAAAGUGUCAGGUCCUUGUGCAGGCGAAGGCUUGAAAUAAUUAUGAAUCCAAGUUGGCUCAUUAGCGAGGGAACAGCCUAUAUGCAUAGUAUGUUCUUAAAAGAGUAUUAUUUAAUCUUACUAGGAAUUGUAAGAUUUUAAAGUCAGAAAAAUGGAAUACAAAACCACAAUACAAAAUACCAAAAUACAAAACCAAAAAAAAUUUGGCAUAAGCUAUUGGAAUCCCUAAAUCAUCAAAAUAAACACGACAUUAUUUCAAAGCUUUUCCCUCUUUGUCUUUGGUUUUUAAGCUGUCAAAAUAUUAUUUUAAAACGAAAGUGGGCCUCGAAUUUAUUCAACGCGACCAUGAAUCACAUUUAGGCCAUACCACGGACGAACUAAAGAGGAUGCUACCAAUAAAUCAGUGUUAGUUGGUGGCCAUAAAAUGGCAAAUAGAAACACAUUGCCCGUACGCGUUGUUUGGUUUUGAUUUUGUCGCCGGCAGACUGCACAUCGUGUAUAAGCCACGUUGACGAAAGCUCAUUAGUGUGAGGGCGUUGUUUUCAAAUGGACGCCUGAAGCAAGGACACGGGACCCAGCUCAUUGGCAGCUCAUCAAACUGAUUUAAUGGCCGUGUGACAAGGAUGCGUGACAGGAGCCAGUGGCCGGCCACGUACGAGCAAUUAAAAUAGUUUACCAACUAAGCAAUUAUAACAAUUAUGGGCGGCACAAACUGUGGUCAAUUCCGAACUAUGCUUGCUUAUCACAUUCAAAUUGCACAGAAGAUCAGAGAGGGCCACAAAGAAAUUGUAUGGCAUCUGACGGAAAUGAAAGCAUUCGGGGCGGAAAAAAGCAACUAGGGGAAUCAAAUUACUUGGCCGGCUCGCAAAGUGGUUAAUUUCAGGCUUGGGGUUGGCUGGACUUGGUCUAAGCCAAUUUGUGGUGUAUUGUGCAGUUAAUAAAUAGUUGCCAAUAUCUCCGAAAAAA